ensembl:snRNA U6 U6 spliceosomal RNA
UCUUCUUGUUUUGGGAGCACAUAUUAUAACUGGAAUCAUAAAGAGAAAAUGAACAUGGCCUCUGUGCCAGAAUGGUAUACACGUGUGGGGUGUUCCAUUUUUUU